rnacentral:tRNA from 1 species
UCCAGGGUAGCCUAGUGGACAUGGUAUUUGCCCGGUAAGCGGAACAAUGUGGGUUCGAUUCCCAUCCCUGGAC